rnacentral:rRNA from 1 species
GGGCCCGCACAAGCGGUGGAGCAUGUGGUUUAAUUCGAUGAUACGCGAGGAACCUUACCAGGGCUUAAAUGUAGAACGACCGAUUUGGAAACAAGUCUUCUCUUUGAGCGGUCUACAAGGUGCUGCAUGGUUGUCGUCAGCUCGUGCCGUGAGGUGUCGGGUUAAGUCCCUUAACGAGCGCAACCCCUAUCUCUAGUUGCCAGCGGAUAAUGCCGGGGACUCUAGAGAAACUGCCCGUGCAAACGGUGAGGAAGGUGGGGAUGACGUCAAGUCAGCAUGGCCUUUAUGCCUGGGGCUACACACGUGCUACAAUGACCGGUACAAAGGGUUGGCAAUCCCGUAAGGGGGAGCCAA